CGACAGGUGUUCGUGUUUGUGUUAAUGUGUUAAUUACACAUUAACACAAACACGAACACCUGUCU